rnacentral:misc_RNA from 1 species
AACGCACAUUGCGCCCUUUGGCAUUCCGAGGGGCAUGCCCGUUCGAGCGUCAUUAAAUCCCACUCAAGCCUGGCUUGGUCUUGGGCGCCGGGGACCUCCCCGCGCCUCCAUUUCGCCGGCUGGCCGUCGUUUGACUUAGCGUUGUGACACAUGUCGCUAAUGAAAAAAGCGGACCGCGUCGUGAAAAUCUCCUUGGGUGUCGAUCGACAUCCAGUAAAGGUUGACCUCGGAUCGGGUAGGAAUACCCGCUGAACUUAA